GCAAGCGUUGUCCGGAAUUAUUGGGCGUAAGCGCGCGCAGGUGGUUCCUUAAGUCUGAUGUGAAAGCCCACGGCUCAACCGUGGAGGGUCAUUGGAAACUGGGGAACUUGAGUGCAGAAGAGGAAAGUGGAAUUCCAAGUGUAGCGGUGAAAUGCGUAGAGAUUUGGAGGAACACCAGUGGCGAAGGCGACUUUCUGGUCUGUAACUGACACUGAGGCGCGAAAGCGUGGGGAGCAAACAGGAUUAGAUACCCUGGUAGUCCACGCCGUAAACGAUGAGUGCUAAGUGUUAGAGGGUUUCCGCCCUUUAGUGCUGCAGCUAACGCAUUAAGCACUCCGCCUGGGGAGUACGGCCGCAAGGCUGAAACUCAAAGGAAUUGACGG
rnacentral:rRNA from 1 species